GACGAACGCUGGCGGCGUGCUUAACACAUGCAAGUCGAACGGAAAGGCCCUGCUUUUGUGGGGUGCUCGAGUGGCGAACGGGUGAGUAACACGUGAGUAACCUGCCCUUGACUUUGGGAUAACUUCAGGAAACUGGGGCUAAUACCGGAUAGGAGCUCCUGCUGCAUGGUGGGGGUUGGAAAGUUUCGGCGGUUGGGGAUGGACUCGCGGCUUAUCAGCUUGUUGGUGGGGUAGUGGCUUACCAAGGCUUUGACGGGUAGCCGGCCUGAGAGGGUGACCGGCCACAAUGGGACUGCGAUACGGCCCAGACUGCUACGGGAGGCAGCAGUGGGGAAUAUUGCACAAUGGGAGGAAGCCUGAUGCAGCAACGCCGCGUGCGGGAUGACGGCCUUCGGGUUGUAAACCGCUUUCGCCUGUGACGAAGCGUGAGUGACGGUAAUGGGUAAAGAAGCACCGGCUAACUACGUG
rnacentral:rRNA from 1 species